rnacentral:rRNA from 1 species
CAGCCGCCGCGGUAAUACGAGGGGUGCAAGCGUUAUUCGGAUUGAUUGGGUGUAAAGGGUGUGCAGACGGCUUAUUAAGUCACUUGUUAAAUUCUUCGGCCUAACUGAAGGUCUGCAAGUGAUACUGAUGAGCUAGAGGGUGAAGAGAGAAGUGGAAUUCUCGGAGUAGCGGUAAAAUGCGUAGAUCUCGAGAGGAACACCAAUGGCGAAGGCAGCUUCUUGGUCCAUUCCUGACGUUCAUACACGAAAGCGUGGGGAGCAAACAGGAUUAGAUACCCCCGUAGUCCCUGUCUCUUAUACC